GAUGAACGCUGGCGGCGUGCCUAAUACAUGCAAGUCGAGCGAUGCGGGGACGGGUGAGUAACACGUGGAUAACCUCCUCUAAGACUGGCAUAACUUCGGGAAACCGGAGCUAAUCCGGAUACUUAUAGUUGUAUCCGCUCUGUAUUAGCUAGUUGGUAAGGUAACGGCUUACCAAGGCAAGGAUGCAUAGCCGACCUGAGUGUGUGAUCGGCCACACGGGAACUGAGACACGGUCCAGACUCCUAAGGGAGGCAGCAUUAGGGAAUCUUCCGCAAUGGGCGAAAGCCUGACGGAGCAACGCCGCGUGAGUGAGGAAGGUCUUCGGAUCGUAAAACUCUGUUAUUAGGGAAGCGGUACCUAAUCAGAAAGCCACGGCUAACUACGUGCCAGCAGCCGCGGUAAUAC
rnacentral:rRNA from 1 species